UUUUAAUCCCCAAUUCACAUUAUUAUUACCAUUAUUAUAUUAGGCAGACAUUCUUUUAGAUUUGCCUAUAUGUUUGCCACCACCUUUGCUCAUCAUUCCUUCUUGCAUCACAAACCUUCUGUCUGAGGUCACCUUUCUUCCCAAAAUACAGAUGGGCCUUGAAGGUCCUAUAGUGAAGUUCUAUUGGUGAUUAACUGCUGGUUCUCACGGUGCUGAGAUGAGGACCUCAGUGCUUCCUGUGACACCAUGUGGAGGAGCUGAGAUGGAGAAGCAGAAGGACUUCUAAUUCUGGAAAGGCCUGUUAAAUUAAGCUUAGCCUAAAGCUGCCUCCUUACGUAUUUUAAGUUCAGCCUAAAGGUUUCUCUGUACAUAGUGAAAUGUAACUUAACUGGAUGUGUAAACAGACUAUAACCUACUCUUGUGCCAGCCACCGAGUUUUAGCCAACUGUUCAAAUCAUGUUCAAAUAAGGCAAAUGCCAAGCUGUAACCCGUCCAGCUGUUGCUGUACCUCACUUGUUUCUGUAUAUCACUUUCCUUUUUCUGACCAUAAAUCAUCUUCGACAAUGCAGUAUCACUGGAGUGUCUCUGAAUCUCCUGUGAUUCGACAGGUUGCCUGAUUCAUAAAUUAUUUGCUCAUUUAAACUAUGUUCAAUUUAAUUUGUCUUUCUUUUGACACGCCCAAAGGGAGACCCAGGUGCCUCUCUGGCGGUGGGGGGUGAGAGUCCUCAGUGGCAGAGAGUGUUGGAAUGAAAGAACUUUGCCUGCACACUGUCUCUAUGGAGACCACAUACACAAAGGCCCCCAGCACAAGAGAACUACGCAGAGCUGGAGGGAGUCCAUGGACUGUCCCACGGCACACUAGAAUCUAUCACCUCUGUCCCUUCUCCAUGCUCCCAACUGCAAAGGGAGGAAGAGGUUUUUGCAUUUCUGACAAUCAACCGAUGGCUCCACCUGGACCUGCCAACCCCGCCAAGCAGUCGUGGACCCAGAAGCAGACUCCCUGGCCUGCCAAACUAUCCUUACAAAACCCUAGCCUCCAACUUUUCAGGAAGAUUGAUUUGAGUAAUAACUCCAUUUACCACGUGGCACGGCUGGCCUCAAUGAUUAAACUCUAUUGCAAUGCUG
rnacentral:lncRNA from 10 species